ACCCGACUGCUAUUGGAGUAGGACUAAGUCACGCUAGUUAAAGGUGCGGAAUGGAGCACCUAGCGCACGGCUCAGUAACACGUAGUCAAUCUACCCUAAGGACGGGUACAACCACGGGAAACUGUGGAUAAUACCCGAUAGGAAAUUUGGCCUGGAACGGUAUCUUUCCGAAAACCGGCUAGCCGUUAGACACGGGCCUUAGGAUGGGGCUGCGGUCGAUUAUGCUAGAUGGCGGUGUAAAGGACCACCAUGGCGAUGAUCGAUAUGGGCGAUGGAAGUCGGAGCCCAGAGUCGGCCACUGAGACAAGGGGCCGAGCCUUACGAGGCUUAGCGGUCGCGAAAACUCGCCAAUGCACGAAAGUGUGAGUGGGCUACUCCAAGUGUCAUUCUUACGGAUGACUGUCGCUCAGUAUUACAAGCUGAGAAAGGAAGGAGAGGGCAAGGCUGGUGCCAGCCGCCGCGGUAAAACCAGCUCUUCGAGUGGUCGGGACGUAUAUUGGGUCUAAAGCGCUCGUAGCCGGACAAGUAGGUUCCUGGUUAAACCCGACAGCAUAACUGUUGGACCGCUGGGAAUACCGCUAGUCUUGGAAGCGGGAGAGGACAGAGGUAGUCAUGGGGCAGGGGUGAAAUCCAGUGAUCCCAUGGCGACCACCGAUGGCGAAGGCAUCUGUCUGGAACGUAUUCGACGGUGAGGGGCGAAAGCUAGGGGAGCGACCCGGAUUAGAUACCCGGUUAGUCCUAGCCGUAAACGAUGCGGACUAGGUGUUGCGGUGGCCAAGAGCCACUGCGGUGCCACAGCGAAGGCGUUAAGUCCGCCACCUGGGGAGUACGGAUGCAAGUCUGAAACUUAAAGGAAUUGACGGGGGCGCACCACCAGGAGUGAAGCCUGCGGUUUAAUCGGAUUCAACGCCGAAAAACUUACCUAAUCAGACGGCAGGAUGAAGCUCAAGCUAAUGACUUUAGCUAACUCGCCGAGAGGAAGUGCAUGGCCGUCGACAGUUCGUGCUGUGAAGUGUCCUGUUAAGUCAGGCAACGAACGAGAUCCACGUCUGCAAUUGCCAGCGGGUCCCUUAGGGAUGCCGGGAACCUUGCAGAGACUGCUUGGUGCUAAACCAGAGGAAGGAGUGGGCAACGGCAGGUCAGUAU
rnacentral:rRNA from 1 species